AUUGAACGCUGGCGGCAUGCCUUACACAUGCAAGUCGAACGGUAACGCGGGGCAACCUGGCGACGAGUGGCGAACGGGUGAGUAAUAUAUCGGAACGUGCCCAGUAGUGGGGGAUAGCCCGGCGAAAGCCGGAUUAAUACCGCAUGAGACCUGAGGGUGAAAGCGGGGGAUCGCAAGACCUCGCGCUAUUGGAGCGGCCGAUAUCAGAUUAGCUAGUUGGUGGGGUAAAGGCCUACCAAGGCAACGAUCUGUAGUUGGUCUGAGAGGACGACCAGCCACACUGGGACUGAGACACGGCCCAGACUCCUACGGGAGGCAGCAGUGGGGAAUUUUGGACAAUGGGCGCAAGCCUGAUCCAGCAAUGCCGCGUGCAGGAAGAAGGCCUUCGGGUUGUAAACUGCUUUUGUCAGGGAAGAAAUCUUCUGGGUUAAUACCUCGGGAGGAUGACGGUACCUGAAGAACAAGCACCGGCUAACUACGUGCCAGCAGCCGCGGUAAUACGUAGGGUGCGAGCGUUAAUCGGAAUUACUGGGCGUAAAGCGUGCGCAGGCGGCUUUGCAAGACAGAUGUGAGAUCCCCGGGCUCAACCUGGGAACUGCAUUUGUGACUGCAAGGCUAGAGUACGGCAGAGGGGGAUGGAAUUCCGCGUGUAGCAGUGAAAUGCGUAGAUAUGCGGAGGAACACCAAUGGCGAAG
rnacentral:rRNA from 1 species